UACGUAGGGUGCGAGCGUUGUCCGGAAUUAUUGGGCGUAAAGAGCUUGUAGGCGGUUUGUCGCGUCUGCUGUGAAAUCUCAAGGCUCAACCUUGAGCUUGCAGUGGGUACGGGCAGACUAGAGUGUGGUAGGGGAGACUGGAAUUCCUGGUGUAGCGGUGAAAUGCGCAGAUAUCAGGAGGAACACCGAUGGCGAAGGCAGGUCUCUGGGGCCACUACUGACGCUGAGAAGCGAAAGCAUGGGGAGCGAACAGG
rnacentral:rRNA from 1 species